AUCUGAAUUACAAGCCAAGAGCAAUAAACGAAGUAUUUGCAGUAAAACAGUUCAUGGAACGAGACGAAUUCUGGACUUUAGUCUUGAUGAUGAUUGUAACGAGAUUGUUAGCUCGUCUCAAGAAGCUAUCUGCACAUGUUCACGCACAGCAAGCGGAAAAAAAUCAGUAAUGUCAAAGCAAGGUAUAAGGUUUGCUUCAGAAAUCUUCACACUUUUAUACUAUCCUCAGUACAUUGUUCUUUAAUCAUUUCAGUUUUAAGGGUGGGUGAGUUGGCGCAUUAUUAGAGAAAUUACGAUUUUAGAACGGCAACGAGACGGCCAGAACAAACUCCUUCAAAUAAAUAGUAGCAAAGAUAAUUCGUGUUAUAUUAUCAAUCGUAUGAAUUUAGUACAGUCUUAGAAGUUGAAGACGUGGGUUUUAUGUUUGGGAAGAGUUCUGCUGAAACCAUUUUGCAGUUGCACUUUUUGCGGCUUGAAAUGCAGUCGUUGUAUCAAGACGUGAAAAUAUGUGAUUUGCGUUAUAGACAGAGCAUGGACAAUGUCUAAAUGAUUCAUAUAUUGUAAUUAUUCAAUUCUUUUCAAUGAUUUAUUGUAUUAGGCCUACUCUGGGACCUUAACUCGCCUUAACUCGCCCUAACUCGCCUUAUCUCGCCCUAUCUCGCAAGAGAAAAAGAUCGAAUUUUGCUUAACUCGCCCAAUCUCGCCUUAUCUCGCAAUGAGAAGUUGACAGAAUUUUGCUUAACUCGCCUAAACUCGCCCUAUUUUGCAAUAAUAACCGGCACAGUUUCACGUCAGUAAAACACAAAUACUGUCAAUCAAAAUUCUUUAGACUCACAAUACUCACUUAUAUAUUCUAUGAGUUUGGCAUUGCAACUGACAUCAACAUACAAGUAUGUAAGCCUGAUUAUCUGAAAUGUUAUCAUAUUUUUAAUUUACUACAUUCUCUGUAAUGCCAUAAAGCUGUAUUGAUCAAAUAAUUCCACCAACUACUCUACUUUAAUACAGUAACAGGGCUGCAAAUAAAUAUUUGACUUGACAGGACAUUUGUCCGAUCACUUUUAAUUUUGGUCGGAAUAACUUGAAUUUGGUCGGACAAAAACCAACAUCACUAAAUUUGGUCGGACAUAUAUACGUCACAAAAUAUAUAUGUCAUGAGACAAGUAUGUAUAGCCAUUCCGGCACAACAUUAAGUAAAAUGCUAGAAUGCCUUAUUGCAAAAUGCAAAUUUGCAAUAGGAUUUUGUCACAGCAAAAAAAUGUAUAAUGUGACAAAUUUUUUUGUGAUCAGACCAAUGUCCGAUCAAAAUUACUUUUGCUCGGACAUUUGCCAAAUUUAGUCGGACAUUGUCCGAUGUCCGACAGUAAUUUGCAGCCCUGCAGUAAGCAGGCCUUAGCAGGCAUACUGUAUACAGUAAUACCCAAUAUUUAAUAAAUCACAGUGAAAAUAAUCGAACAUAAUAACAGAACCCAAACUGCCAAGUAUGGUUGAAAAUUAAUAUUCCCAUAUAUACUAAUAUACAGAUCACUUAUCUAUUCUAUUUCAACUAUACAAUGAUAUCAAAACAUCAAAAGUACUUGCUUAGCUUUUAUGCAGCUAUCAGCCUAUCACAUGAAUAACAAAUUUUAAAAGGUCUCUGUGAUAUCAACAGCUCAAACUGCAAAGUUAUUCGUUGAACUGUUUUUAUAUACAACCGGCAACAGAGCUACUGAACCAACGAUACGCGCAGAAUUUUAGGAGAAAUAUUUUAAUACACAAUCACAUUCACAAAAUUCGUGAAAAUAUAGAUUUACAGUAAAAGCAAAGUUAAAGGUGAAUAGUGUAGUAAACAUACCGUGCUUGCCUGUCUGUGACCAACAUUAAAUUUAGUAGAAACAAUCUGUAGGGACAAGGCUUUUUGAAUUUCAUUCUAAUAUGAUGAUAUUAAAAAAACUUUAAAAUGUUGAUGCAUAUCCCGCCAUAUUGCCUUUGCGGAAUCGAAUGAUUCUGACUUAUAGACUGCGUAGACCUCCCCCCCCCCGACCACAGAGGAAUUACCGCGAUGAUGGGAAAGAAGAUUCCGUUUACCAGGGGGGCGGGAUGCUGUCUGGGAACAGAUAUUGAAAAUAUUGCUCCCUUCAGCGGAAAAAGUACAAUCUGCUUGCAAUACUUAGUGUUAGUGUUAAUGAGAGGCAGUGAAUUCUGAAUAUAAAAACUUGAUAGGAAAUAGGAAUAUAUAUUAUUAAACAAUAAUACAGUUUUAUACAGAAGAAUCAUUGUCAUUUACAUUCAUUUACGUUUCCAAAGCAAGUAAGUUGGGCAUUAAUUUUAAUAUUAUGAGCGUUGGUUAUCAUUUAAUAUAUCAUUGUGUGAUUGUGGUUCGAAAUUUCGUUAAUUAAAAUAGUUAUUAAAGUGCUAAAUUUAAUAGUAAAUAAUCUAUAAUUUCCUAGCAAGCUUUUUAGUUUCUCUUUGUUUCAUAUCAAUGUUUAUAUUAUAUUAAAUUAAAUAAAAAAUUGAAUACAAGGACUGCUGCUUGCAAACAAAUUGGAACCUAAUUGAUAAUGUCAUGAUUCAUGAAAACAGCUAAAAAUUACAAAAUAUGUGGUGAAGCUAGUCAUAGCAAGUUAGCAACUGAUACUGUGAAGAUUUAGGAAACAAUGCAGUUCUAUACACACUAUGCAUAAUGCCUCAAAUUAUACAGUUUGGCAUCUGGCUACCAGCCUCGUUUUGAUGCAACUUGUUUCCAGGUCCCGAGUUAUUGUGCAUAUCAUGUAUGUAUUGUAGAAUAUAGAAUAAAACACUUUUCUAGGCCUGCUACUUCAAGUACUGCAUACUUGCUUUGCAUAAUGCACAAACAAAGCAAAAUACAUAGUGUGUAUACAAUAUCCAGAUUUUUCCUUAACUCGCCUUAUCUCGCCUUAACUCGCAAGGGUCAGUAGCCAGAUUUUUCCUUAACUCGCCCUAUCUCGCCUUAACUCGCAUAGGCUCGCCUUAUCUCGCGGCGAGUUAAGGUCCCAGAGCAGGCCUUGUAUUGGUAGCCGUUUGCAUCGCGUUGCCGUCCUAAAAUCAUAAGGUCUCUAUUAUGUACAGUAUGUAACCUGAUUCGUUGUGUAUUCAUAUAUAACGUCAUUUUAUGGGGCUUUCCCAAACAAAAUAAUAAUUUUUAAAAACAUUUAGAGAUUGUUACCUCGUCUCAAGAAGCAAUCUGCACACGUUCACGCACAGCAGGCGGGAAAAUAUCAGUAAUGUCAAAGCAAGGUAUAAGGUUUGCUUCAGAAAUCUUCAGAAAUCACACUUUUUAAAGCAAGAGAUUUAAAUGAUUAAUUGAAGUACUGUACUGUAUCAGGGUUCGUAGCGGUCUUUGAAAUCCUUGAAAGUCUUUAAAUUUGAAUGCAGGUCUUUGAAAAGUCUUUGAAUUGUGUGAAAAAGUGAAGAAAGUCUUUAAAUUCUUUAGUGAGUAUGGACGAAAAAAUGCAUUUUAGGAUGUUAUUUGACGGGACUAAUUACCUGGUAAAAAUGGUGCUUAUAUAUCGCAAUUUUUCAACAGCUGAUUGCUCUCAAAGGUCUUUGAAAAGCCUUUGACAACAGGCAGAAAAAAUCUUUGAAAGUCUUAAUGAAUAUUUUUGGUCUUGGAGACUACGAACCCUGUGUAUACUAUCCUCAGUACAUUGUUCUUUAUUUUCAGUUUUAAGGGUGGGUGAGUUGGCGCAUUAUGAGAGAUAUUAGAGACCUUACGAUUUUAGGACGGCAACGCUACGGCAACGGCUAUACCAAUACAAUAGAUCAUUGAAAAGAAUUGAGUAAUUACAAUAUAUGAAUAAUUUAGACAUUGUCCUUUAGAGAUUGUUACCUCGUCUCAAGAAGCAAUCUGCACACGUUCACGCACAGCAGGCGGAAAAAAAUCAGUAAUGCCAAAGCAAG
rnacentral:lncRNA from 1 species